rnacentral:tRNA from 2 species
GGAUGAAUGGCAGAGUGGUCGAUUGCGGCGGUCUUGAAAACCGUUGACGUGAAAGCGUCCGGGGGUUCGAGUCCCUCUUCAUCCG